GGUUGCGUAGCUCAGUUGGCAGAGCAGGCGCACUUAUAAGCGUCGUGUCGCGGGUUCGAGUCCCGCCGCAACCA
rnacentral:tRNA from 1 species